rnacentral:rRNA from 1 species
UACGUAGGGUGCGAGCGUUAAUCGGAAUUACUGGGCGUAAAGCGUGCGCAGGCGGUUCGUUGUGUCCGUCGUGAAAGCCCCGGGCUUAACCUGGGAACUGCGAUGGAAACUAGCGAGCUGGAGUGUGGCAGAGGGGGGUGGAAUUCCGCGUGUAGCAGUGAAAUGCGUAGAUAUCGUAAGGAAGGCCAGUGGCGAAGGCGAGUCUCUGGACAGUUACUGACGCUGAGGCACGAAGGCCAGGGGAGCAAACGGG